rnacentral:misc_RNA from 1 species
AUCUUUGUUCUUCACAUGGCAUUUCUGGUUAAUCAAGGCAGCAGAGCGAGAUACAAGCUCAAUAUCGUUACCAUCCAAGAUUAACUCAUCCUUGACCUUCUCAGAUCGAACAAUAGAUACUCCAUCAAGCAUAUCUACUUUCCGAACCUUCUUCUCGCCCAGAAAAUUACGGAUCUCGAUGGACUUGUUCGCGUUUGUGAUACUAGCAUUUAUGGGAAAGUGUGCGUACACAAACCGCAUCUUAUACCGAUA